rnacentral:rRNA from 1 species
CUCUCAGCAACGGAUAUCUCGGCUCUCGCAUUGAUGAAGAACGUAGUGAAAUGCGAUACCUGGUGUGAAUUGCAGAAUCCCGUGAACCAUCGAGUCUUUAAACGCAAGUUGCGCUAGAGGCCAUCCGACCAAGGGCACGCCUACCUGGGCGUCAC